UACGGAGGGUGCGAGCGUUGUUCGGAAUCACUGGGCGUAAAGGGCGCGUAGGUGGCCUGUGGAAGUCUGCGGUGAAAGCCCGGCGCUCAACGCCGGGUCGGCCGUGGAUACUCUCGGGCUUGAGCUUACUAGAGGCAGAUGGAAUUCCGGGUGUAGCGGUGGAAUGCGUAGAGAUCCGGAAGAACACCGGUGGCGAAGGCGGUCUGCUGGGGUAAUGCUGACACUGAUGCGCGACAGCGUGGGGAGCAACAGG
rnacentral:rRNA from 1 species